GGGCACAACGUACUCCAAAACUCCAGAUGAUCCCACUCAGCGUUUUCAUUGAAGGCUGCAUGAAGGCUGCAAGUAGGACUGGAACCACUGCAAAGUAGUGUCACCUACCCCUAACUCAGACAGUCGCUCCAGAAGGAUACCAUGGUUGAUGGCAUCGAAAGCAGCUGAAAGGUUGAUGAGAAUUAACAAGGACAAAAUUUCCCUGUCUCUCUCCCGACAAUUACGGUAACUUCCUAGGUGCUAUAGUCAGAUUUCAAAGGCCCUUUCCUGUCUGUUCUGUUUUAUUUGGGGAGUUUACCAUUAAACUUAGAGAUAUAGAUAGAGAUAUCAGCCAUACUUGUACAUGUUUCCCAUAUUGCAUUAAAAGCAAUUCUACCUGUAGUUUGGGCAGCUGAAAUUAAAAAGUGAAUCUUAUUAUCCUCCAGCAGAUACAGCCUAGCUACAGAUAUGAAGCUGCAUUUUACAGUGGUCAUGUUGAUUUCAAAAGCAACUCUUGCAAACAAUAUGAACAUGAAGGAAACCACAUAGUGCUGAUUUCCUCUUGAACAUUUGGGGUAAGAGGCCUGGUUGCAAUGCUUAGACAAUAGGGUAAUUUGUAAUAUCUAGCUGGAAAUGUUACUGCCCAUGUUUUGUCAUCUAUUUUGUCUCCAAUUUGUUCAGUUCUUCGUAUAAAAAAGUGCCUUCUAGAGAGGCCUGCAAAACUAGAUCUAGAGGGCAAUUCUGCUGUUUUCCCCAAUCCUAUUUAAUGCAGUGUUGUAAAUAAUGGGCCAAAUAAUGAUUGCAGAUGUUCUAAUCAUCAGCCUCCCUUUCCCAAACAGUUUAAGGGCCUGUUUGCAAAGAAUUGUUCUGAAGAACUGAGUGAUAUUACUGAAAAUAAAUCUGUGCUAACUUUUUAUAGAUUCCCUAGUCAGUCUUUUUCACAGGACCCAGGGGCUGCAAACCAAAGAUGCUUCAGCCUGGCAACUGCAUACUUAAUGAGCAUUAAAGGCACUUACAGCACAGGAUAUAGUCCUGCAGUGGGAAAAUUGUACAGCUGUUAUGAAGAGUUUUAUGUAGCUGUACAUGUCAUGGCUGAAUUGACCAUUGUCAUCUUCUGAUCAAGAUUAAUAAAGCAGCUCAACAGUCUUUCAGAUAUUAUUUUUCCAUUUGCUGUUUGAAGAUAGCACUGGGAGAUGUGUUGGAAGAAGCUAGAAGGUGAAUUCUGCUUUUCUUCAAUAAAUCCCCUAGACUGUUUGGGGAAAACAGAUGGCUUCACACAUCUGUAAAAACAAUGUAAGCUCUCUGGCCAUAGUUUCCACUCCAUUUAUUUCAGAACUGAUAUCACCAAAGGAAACAAAAGAGACAAAUCCUGAAAAUGGUACUGAUACUGAUCUGUAUACUAAUGCUGAUUCAAGUCUCUCUGGGCUUGGGCUUGUGUCGCCAAAACUACUUCAUCAACACACAAGAGAUUGGUACUGGCAGACUCACAAUGUGAGGUAUGCACAAGUAGAAAAAAAUGGCUGAAAAGAACCUAAGGCAGGGUGGGUACCCCAAAAGCACUGUGAUGACCCAGUGAUAUGGAGUGUACUUUAGGCAUUUUCCUGAACACAUGAGGGUUAAAAGUGUGUAAAAGCAAGCCCUAACUCUCUUGUUCUUUUGCACAUGGGCUGUUUGCAGACAUUUGCAUGUUGAGUUCCAUCCAGUUAGAUUUAGUGGGAAAUAGAGUAGCUAGAACAGGAGGACCGAAUAUAUAGCUAUAUAUAUUUGUGUGGCUCAGUCAUUUUUUGGUUCUUGUAGAUAAGCUAUUUUUCAGUGUUCCUACAGCUGGAAGAGAGCUUUCUGCAGACAUCAACAGAUAAACUAAAGCUUGGAUUAGGCACAAAUAUGUCCCAUACAUAAACUCCACCCCCCAAGUCAAAAUGGAGAACAGAAAUCCCAAAGGAGAAACAAAACCACUCAAUAAGAGGACUAAGUUGGCUCAGUGGGGAUGGGAUUUUGAUUGCCUGUUUGGCUAGGGGAUAGAUGACUGGAAUGGGAUGGAAAGGCAUAGAUUGAUCCCUGAACAGAAGCACCUUAAAUAAGAAGUAUUUUGUGGUGACAGCUGUGAGCAUGAAACAUGGAGGUGGUGUUUGAUAAUUUUCCCAGUUGAAUUAAAAGUGUGUAGAUGCCCUAAUGCUUUAGUUUAACUGUAUUUUGGUUUUCUAUCAUCUGGUCUUUAAUCUGUGAUCUUUUAUAUUGAAAGGAAUUAGCAUUUGUGAAAUGAACCGGGGCAGCGUUAGACAGGAACCACCUGAUGUACGAACUGAUAAUGGGGCCUUGAGCAUGUAACAAUUUUUCAGUCAAUUUUCAGUUAUCUAUAAAAUGGGAAUGGUGAUAACCUGCUGCACAUGGUUGUUGCAGAUGAGAUACUACUAUUAAUCAUAAAUCACUUUGCCAUUUGAAACUGCUACAAGUUUUACCAUUAAUCCAUUCACCCCAAGGAUCCUGAAUACUCUUGGGUAAAUAAUUCUGUCCUAACUUCUGCUCACCCUCCUUUAAAAUAUGAAUGAAAAUGCUGGUUUUAUUUAGAGCACUAGAAGUGAAAAAUAAAUAUUGACGUCCUAAGUAACAUAGAUAGCAAUGAUAUUUGUUGUUAGGUUUUUCCUUAGGAGUGUUACCUGUUACAGUAAAUAGUUGAGUUAUUUCAUUAAACAUAAAUGUAUGUAUUCAAUAUUAAAGAUGUUAAAAAUGUAAACUCACCACCCCACCUUUUCAAUUCAAUGUCAUACAGUAGGAAUGCUCUCUGAACUGAUGGUGUCAGAGGCAUCCAAAGCAGUAAGUCUUCUUUGUUUGGUGAUCACUCGUAGCUGAGUAAGAUUGUCUUCCAUGUACACGGUCUUAACGGUGUGUCCGUAGGUGACUGCAGAGGCCAAUUUUGGAUCCACACAUCUUUCCACAGUCCUCAACUCCGGGCAGGAGUUGAUCAUGGUGGGGGGUUUGCAAAAUGUGCUUUCCUCUUAGCACAUUUCUCCAUUUCGUCUUGAACAUCCACAACAGUUUUGGUAAAGGCUGUUCUCCAACUGGAGUGCUCACAGGUCAGUGUUUCCCAAUUGUCGGUGUUUAUACUACAUUUUUUAAAAUUUGCCUUGAGGGUGUUUGUAAGUUCAGAAUAGAGUAGUUGCUUUGGAAGAUGAUAAUCAGGCAUCCGAACAACAUGACCAGUCCAACGAAGUUGAUGUUGAAGAAUCAUUGCUUUGACACUGGUGAUCUUUGCUUCUUCCAGUACACUGGCAUUAGUUCACCUGUCUUCCCGAGUGAUGUGUAAAAAUUUUUGGAGACACCAUUGAUGGAAUCUUUCAAGGAGUUGGAGAUGGGUUUAUAAGUGGUCCAUGUUUCACAAGCAUACCGUAAGGUUGGUAGUACAACAGCUUUGUAAGCAUGCAUUUUAGAUUCCCUGUGAAUGUCCCAGUCCUCAAACACUCUGUACUUCAAUUGGGAAAAAGCUGCACUUGGAGAGCUCAGGCGGUGCUGGAUUUCAGCAUCAAUGUCGGCCCUUGUAGACAGAUAACUGCCCAGGUAGGAGAAGUGAUUGACACCUUUCAACACUACAGCAUUGAGUUGGAUUUGUAGCGCUGCAGAGCGGUUGUUUUGUGCUUGUUGCUGCAGCACUUUGUUGUUGUUUUUUUGAUGUUGAGUGAUAGGCCAAGCUUUUCAUAAGCUUCUGCGAAGAUAUUUAGGAUGGUUUGGAGGUCAUUCUCUAAGUGUGCACACACUGCGUUGUCAUCAGCAUAUUGAAGCUCUGUGAUGGAAGUUAUGGUAACCUUACUCUUUGCUUUCAGCCUACUCAGGUUAAAGAGCUUUCCAUCUGUUUGAUAAAUGAUUUCUACUCUGGUGAGGAGUUUCCCUUCGAAAAUGUGUAGGAUUAUGGCAAUGAAGAUAAUAAACAGAGUUGGGGCGAUCACACACCCCUAUGUUAACAUCAUACAGUAGGGAUACAGUAGGAAUGGGAUGUGGGUGGCACUGUGGUCUAAACCACUGAGCCUCUUGGGCUUGCUGAUCAGCAGGUCAACGGUUUGAAUCCCUGCGACGGAGUGAGUUCCCGUUCCUCUGCCCCAGUUCCUGCCAACCUAGCAGUUUGAAAGUAUGCCAGUGCAGAUAGGUAAUUAGGUACUGCUGCGGUGUUUCCGUGCACUAUGGCUUCCAUCACAGGUGUUCAGUUGCGCCAGAAGUGGUUUAGUCAUACUGGCCACAUGACCCAGGAAGCUAUCUGUAGACAAACAUCGGCUCCCUCAGCCUGAAAGCGAGAUGAGCACUGCAACCCCAUAGUCACCUUUGACUGGACUUAACCGUCCAGGGGUCCUUCACCUUUUUUUACCUUUACAGUAGGAAUGUUCUGUGAACUGAUUGUGCCAGAGGCAUCCAAAGUAGCAAGUAGUGUUGAAAUAUGUGGACAGGUUUGUUUAUACUGGCAUUUAUUUAUUAUAUUUAGAGACCACCUUUAUCUUCCAAAGAUAUUAAGGUGGUAUACAUGGUUCUCCUUCUCCUUCUCCUUCUCCUUCUCCUCUCCUUCUCCUCUCCUUCUCCUUCUCCUCCUUCUCCCCAUUUCAUCCUUACAGGGACCCUGUGAGGUAGCUUAGGCUAAGAGAUGUUGACUGGCCCAUGGUCACCUAGUGAGCUUCAAGGCUGAGUGGGGAUUUGAACUCUCCUAUCUCAGGUCCUAGUCCAACACUAACCAUUAUGCCAGACUGGCUGUGUUCGUUUAGUUUCUUUUUAAAGAAGUAGGAUACUUUAGGACACAUACUUGUUAGGGUUUUAUUCUUGUAUCUGUACACAAUAAGCAACCUUAUUUUUAUUAAUAUAGUAGAUGCAGUCUUGUAUCCUGUGUAAUAAUACAGUGGGCUUGCUAUGCUUAGUGCAUUUUUCAGUUUUAUUUUGUUUGCGGGUUAACUUUCAUUCUUCUGUCUGUUCACUGGGCGAUAGCACAGUCAUCAGAAAUAACAGCUGUUGGCAGCAGCUUGAACUCAUGGAAGUUACUGGCUAGGUUGCUGUCAUUAACUAUUUGGCUGCUGGCUAGAGAAAAGAUGAGACCAUAUUGAUUGUUGAACAGAACAACUAUAUUGCUAAGAAAAAAUUGGAGUAAAGGCACCAAUUCUGGGCACGGCACCACCUAUUGUUGGGAAGGCAACAUUACAGUUACACCUCCACAUUUUUUUCUCAUUGGUACAGUACUCCGUGCCAAAGGGAAUUUGAGUUGUAUCAACUCUGUUUCCUCUCUGCCCCAGUGAUUUCAGCCAUAGAAGGGAUAGAUACCAUUUUUGAAACAGAAAAUCUGAGUAAGACUGAAAGCAGCAUGAUUAGGUUUCAGUCAGGCUGUCAGGAGAAAUAUUCUGUUGAACUUUCUGAAUGCAAGAUCUUCUUUGGCUGUGAAAGAACUGGGGGAAAAUGCAGAAUUUUUUUAGUGAUAGUUCACAAGAGAAAACAGAAUAAAGAACUGCUUUACUGUGGCUUGUAACAUAGAAGAUCCAAUCUCGAACUUGGCUCUCUGGGAGUUCCUUUAAACUCUUAGGCGUCUUUUAGCUGGUAUGGUCUCAUUCAUCAGUGGAAACCUAUAUUUUAUAGCCUUGGCAGUGUAUGAUUAACUUCUAGAUGAGAGUAUAUUUUGUUUCUUCUCACCUGCCCACCACCCACCAGUAAGCCCAGAAAUAUACUGCAAUGUUACUGAUUUGUUGUACAAGGACUGUCCAUGUUCAUGCUGUUGGAAAAAAAAAUGAAAUGCUGAAUUGCUUUUGUAUUUUAUUGUAGAUUGCUAAUUUUAUUUCCUAUUUAACAGUUCCUGCAAUUCUAGAAGUCACUGGAGCUUUGUAAGUUCAGCUUAAAAGCAUUUUAAAUAGUCAUUGGGCUGUGGAAUGAUAGCAUCAAUCUUCUGUGCUAUUAUUAUAUCUAGAAAACUGGAUUGGAUAUCCAUUUUCAUAUUUAAAGCUAAAUUACUGGCAAACAGCCAUAUCAUCUAAAACACAGAGAGUGGUAACCUGUGUAAAAGGCUUCUGUGACUGUAAUGGCAAUACCUAUGGGUGCAGGAUAUUUUUCAGCAAAUCAGAAUCCGUUGGUAACAAAAUGACUUCUGAAGAAGGUCUUUUAUCCUUUUAAGCAGUUCCCUUUUUAAUUCUUUCAUUUUCAAGCUUAUUCCAUACUUUAUAGUCUACCUACUAAUAAUGAUUAGAUCUGUUUAAUUGGAACGUUAUAAGCUUCAAUUACUAGCUUGUCCACUGAUAACGCUGCUUUGGAAUGGGGGGGCUGAGUGAGGGUGGAUUUCUUUUUAAAAUUAAAUAGAAACUUAACAGCGCAAUGUAAGUCUGUGGCAAAUUGAAUUAAUUUCCUGUUCCACUUCUGCUUAAGGUAGACAGAUAAAUAGCUGGUUUUUAAAGGUUUUCUUCAAUCAAUUGCUCACUACCAUUUAAGAGUUUUAUUUCCUAAUUAUUCCACCCCACCUUCCAGUCCCCCAAAUAUCUAUUAGGCCUCUCUGAUCUGAGGCCAAUAGCAAUAUACUUAUCUGGCAAAAGUAAAAUGGAAUCCUAAGCUUCCUAGCAACAUUGCUUGUCCAGCCCUUCAGCAGGGUUCUCAAGUUCAAAGAUGCAAGGCUUUUUAAUAACCCUGUUUUAAUUGUUCCAGUCCCUUCCCUUCCUGAGAACCUUGCUGUUGCUUCUUUAUUGCCUAUUCUUCCCUUAUCAGUAGUGACAGGAAGUGCAGCCACAUCAGAGGAUACUGUCUGGCAAAUGACUCUUUCUGUGUUGGCAAUGGAAGGGCGGGGGAGCCAAAGGAUAAUCUUAGAAUAAUGAAUUCUGAGAAAAGCUGUUCAUAUAGUAGUUUUAACUGUGCAAGACAAGCCCCCUUUCUCUCUGCCUUAUGUUCUCUGCUUCACACUUUUUUCCGAGAGAAUUAAUGUACUCUGAAAAGGGCAUGGGCGCUUGUUCAAAAAUGUCUCCAUAUGACAUCUCUGGAGAGAAAUUUAGCCAAUGCGGGAGAAAACAUUUACAGAUAAUUUAACCAAAGGGCUGGGCUCAGUUGCUCCUUGCUAGCAAAAAUACUGCGGAUACUGCAUACAAAAUAAGAUGCGCACUUCCAAAACUUCUCAGGAACUAGGUCAAAGGAAGUUAGUUCAUGGUGUACUGUGCACCGCUGAUACAGGAGGAAGGCAAAUAUUUCGGCAUGUCACUGUGUUCAUACUUGUCGUGUACAUAAUGGGAUUGCAGGACAGCUUUCAGUUUG